CUUGGAUCAGACAAACCACAAGAUAAGCUCUUACCUGCCAUGUCAAGAAAUGAUUUUCCCCUAUGAUGAAUCCUUGACCAGUUCCAAGGAAUUCCACAUCCAUUCCUUGGAGCCCUUGCCACAUUCUGGUUGGCAUACUCUUCGUAGCACUCUUCUGCGUGAUAUUUUUGGUGAGCUGAAGCUUGACUUGGAGCCCUUGUCACAUUCUGGUUGGCAUACUCUUCGUAGCACUCUUCUGCAUGAUAUUUCUGGUGAGCUGAAGCUUGACCUAAUGAAUUUGAGGC
rnacentral:lncRNA from 1 species